GACGAACGCUGGCGGCGUGCUUAACACAUGCAAGUCGAGCGGUAAGGCCCUUUCGGGGGUACGACGAGCGGCGAACGGGUGAGUAACACGUGGGUGACCUGCCCUUAGCUCUGGGAUAAGCCUGGGAAACUAGGGUCUAAUACCGGAUAUGACUCCAUGACGCAUGUUGUGGGGUGGAAAGCCUUGUGCGGCUAGGGAUGGGCCCGCGGCCUAUCAGCUUGUUGGUGGGGUGAUGGCCACCAAGGCGACGACGGGUAGCUGGUCUGAGAGGAUGUCCAGCCACACUGGGACUGAGACACGGCCCAGACUCCUACGGGAGGCAGCAGUAGGGAAUCUUGCGCAAUGGGCGAAAGCCUGACGCAGCGACGCCGCGUGCGGGAUGAAGG
rnacentral:rRNA from 1 species